GCUACCCAGUAAACACCUGACGUCGUACCGACGUUGGUUAGACGUUGGAUUUUGGUCGCGACGUCGGCGACCUGAAUCCAACGUCUAACCAACGUCAUAUCCACGACGUCUAAUAGACGUCAGAUUUAGACGUCUAGAAGACGUUGGAAUUAGGUUGGAUAGAAAGUCUGAUAAAUGUUUUUAGUUAUAAAACUAACUGGUAUAAUUUUGCUAGUAUAGUUUAAAGAUAUUUACUUGUUUUCAUAAAGGCCUGGACGUGCGCUUAUUAAUAAUAGUUCAUUCUCACAACAAACAUUAUAUUAAUUAUGUUACAAUAUCGCAUGAGAUUGUCUAUUUUCGGAGACGGAUUUUUUCACGAACUUUAAACUGUUCAAGAUAAAAAUGCAUUCUAUACACAUGUAUAAAUUAUUAGCUCACCUGAGCACGAAGUGCUCAAAGGUGAGCUUUAGUGAUCACCCUGUGUCCGGCGUCCGUCGUCGUCCGUCCGUCCGUCCGUCCGUCCGUCGUCAACAAUUUGACUGUUAACACUCUAGAGGUCACAUUUUUGGCCCAAUCUUAAUGAAACUUGGUCAGAAUGUUACCCUCCAUAAAAUCUUGGACGAGUUCGAUAUUGGGUCAUCUGGGUUAAAAAACUAGGUCACCAGGUCAAAUCAAAGGAAAAGCUUGUUGACACUCUUGAGGUCACAAUUUUGACCCAAUCUUAAUGAAACUUGGCCAGAAUGUUACCCUCCAUAAAGUCUUGGACGAAUUUGAUAUUCGGUCAUCUGGGGUCAAAAACUAGGUCACCAGGUCAAAUCAAAGGAAAAGCUUGUUAACACUCUAGAGGUCACAUUUUUGGCCCAAUCUUAAUGAAACUUGGUCAGAAUGUUACCCUCCAUAAAAUCUUGGAUGAGUUCGAUAUUGGGUCAUCUGGGGUCAAAAACUAGGUCACCAGGUCAAAUCGAAGGAAAAGCUUGUUAACACUGUAGAGGCCGCAUUUAUGACUAUAUCUUCAUGAAACUUGGUCAGAAUGUUAAUAUUGAUGAUCUUAAGGUCCAGUUUGAAUCUGGGUCAUGUAGGAUUAAAAACUAGGUCACCUGGUCAAAUCAAAGGAAAAGCUAGUUAACACUGUAGAGGCCACAUUUAUGACCAUAUCUUAAAGAAACUUGGUCAGAAUGUUUAUCUUGAUGCUCUUUAGGUCAGGUUUAAACCUGGGUCAGCUUCGGUAAAAAACUAGGUCACUAGGUUAAAUCAAAGGAAAAGCUUGUUAACACUGUAGAGGCCACAUUUAUGACUAUAUCUUCAUGAAACUUAGUCAGAAUAUUAAACUUGAUGAUCUUUAGGUCAAGUUCAAAUCUGGGUCAUGUUGGGUCAAAAACUAGGUCACGGGGUCAAAUCAAAAGAAAAGCUAGUUAACACUGUAGAGGCCACAUUUAUGAACAUAUCUUGAUGAAACUUGGUCAGAAUGUUAAUCUUGAUGAUCUUUAGGUCAAUAGAUCAGGUGAGCGAUACAGGGCCUUCAUGGCCCUCUUGUUCUAAAUUCACAUACUAGAUCUUCUCUUCUACACAUGUUGUCUAUUAGUCACACAUUCGCGAGAUAAGCCUGCAUCGGUUUACACAGUCUUCCUGUAAUUUGAUAUUUAUUGGGAUAAGAUAGAGCAAGUUUAUAAAUACUUUACACAAAGGGAAGGAUCCGCAACGUGGAAAUGUUGGCGGAGUUGAAGAUUCAUACAAAAAUGACGAAACUUGAAAGUUUCAAUUACUGCAUUACUUUUUGGACUUAUUGUAUUAGACUUACGUCGCCAUAAUAUGAAAUAAAGAUGAUAAAAUA